UGGGGAAUUUUCCGCAAUGGGCGAAAGCCUGACGGAGCAAUACCGCGUGAGGGAGGAAGGCUCUUGGGUUGUAAACCUCUUUUCUCAGGGAAGAACACAAUGACGGUACCUGAGGAAUAAGCAUCGGCUAACUCCGUGCCAGCAGCCGCGGUAAU
rnacentral:rRNA from 1 species